rnacentral:lncRNA from 1 species
ACAUCAAAUGAAAGGUAAUAGAAAAGCAUAUUAAGUAACUCUCCCUCUCAAGUUAAAACUAAACUCAGAUGCUUCAAAGUGAUCACAAAACUUCGAUCACUUCUUCCUUUUCUUUGGGGGCUGGAUUGUCUCUUCUUCUUCAUCCUCUUCUUCAUCAUCUUCUGGCUCCUCCUCUACAACUUCUUCUUCGUCUGGUCCUUCUCCAUCGUCGUCGUCGUCGUCAUCAUUAUCAUUAUCAUCGUCGUCAUCAUUGUUGUCGUCAUCAUCAUGACCUUCACCAUCACCUUCUUCAUCUUCUGCAUCUCCAUUUUCUUCACCUUCUUCAUCAUUGCUCUUCUUGGCAUUGCCAUUGGUUUUGUUGGGAUUGUUUUCAUGAAUCCCUUCAUCAGAAAAUUGAUCAUCUUCACCAUCCUCAAAUUCACCAUCCCCAUUCUCAACAUUGUUGUCUCCAUCUCCACCUUCCUCAGCAGCAUCAACUACUUUGUGCCCAUCAUUUCUACUUUGAUCUCCCUUGACUUUGGUCUCAAUUGCCACCAGCGGCACAGCAACAUCCUGG